CAGUCUUGUUAUAAUGGCAAAGAUUUGGGAAAAGGGGAGCUGGCAACAGCCUUCGCAUUUUGAUGAGCUCGCGUCUGAUUAGUUAGUUGGUAAGGUAAUGGCUUACCAAGACGAAGAUCAGUAGCUGGUCUGAGAGGAUGAUCAGCCACACUGGAACUGAAACACGGUCCAGACUCCUACGGGAGGCUGCAGUGGGGAAUCUUGCGCAAUGGACGAAAGUCUGACGCAGCCACGCCGCGUGAGUGAAGAAGGCCUUCGGGUUGUAAAGCUCUGUCGGAGGGGACAAAACGUUUAGGGUUAAUAGCCCUAGAUCUUGAUGGUACCCUUAAAGGAAGCACCGGCUAACUCCGUG
rnacentral:rRNA from 1 species